AGAGUUUGAUCCUGGCUCAGAGCGAACGCUGGCGGCACGCCUAACACAUGCAAGUCGAGCGAGAAAGUGACUUCGGUCGCGAGUAAAGCGGCGAACGGGUGAGUACAACGUGGAUAAUCUACCCUAAGGUCUGGGACAACCCCGAGAAAUCGGGGCUAAUACCGGAUAAGACCACAGUAUCCAAGGAUACAGCGGUAAAAGAUUUAUCGCCUUUGGAUGAGUCCACGCCCCAUCAGGUAGUUGGUAAGGUAAAGGCUUACCAAGCCUAAGACGGGUAGCCGGCCUUAGCGGGUGAACGGCCACAUGGGGACUGAGACACGGCCCUGACUCCUACGGGAGGCAGCAGUGGGGAAUAUUGGGCAAUGGGCGAAAGCCUGACCCAGCGAUGCCGCGUGAGGGAUGAAGGCCUUCGGGUUGUAAACCUCUGUCAGGAGGGACGAUGGGACUUUGUCUUGACGGUACCUCCAGAGGAAGCCCCGGCUAACUCCGUGCCAGCAGCCCGCG
rnacentral:rRNA from 1 species